UCCCAAUGACCAGUUUAUAUCCAUUUGUUCGUGUCCACAUUGGUACUGAGCUUAAAUAAUUCCUCUCCCUCUCCAGUAUUUAUCCCUCUGAUAUAUUUAUAGAGAGCAAUCAUAGCUCCCCGCAACCUUCUUUUGACAGGUUUCAGAGUAGCAGCCGUGUU